GACGAACGCUGGCGGCGUGCUUAACACAUGCAAGUCGAACGGAAAGGCCCGGCUUUUGUGGGGUGCUCGAGUGGCGAACGGGUGAGUAACACGUGAGUAAACUGCCCUUGACUUUGGGAUAACUUCAGGAAACUGGGGCGAAUACCGGAUAGGAGCUCCUGCUGCACGGGGGGGGUUGGAAAGUUUCGGCCGUUGUGGAUGGACUCGAGGCUUAUCAGCUUGUUGGUGGGGUAGUGGCUGACCAAGGCUUUGACGGGUAGCCGGCCUGAGAGGUUGACCGGCCUCCUUGCUCCUGCGGUACGCCCCAGUCUCCUACGGGAGGCAGCAGUGGGGAGUCUUGCGCAAUGGGCGCACGCCUGUUGCGGCAGCGUCGCGUUCGGGAUGACGUCCUUCGGGUUGUAAACCGCUUUCUCCUGUGACGAAGCGGGCGUGACGGUACUUGGUAAAGAAGCACCGGCUAACUACGUG
rnacentral:rRNA from 1 species